AAAGAACACAGCUGUUUCCAAGAGGCCAGAGGAGCCAAACAGAAGUGGAACAGCUUUCAGAUGGGACUUCUAUUGCAACAGAUGCUUCACUGAAGACUGUCUUAUGGUUUUAUUGAAAAGAAUGCAAGCCUGGCUGUAAAGAUGGUUUUCAAGACAGGUCUUUAUUUUUGGGAAACCUUAUCCUUGGAUUGCUGAAAUGAUACGAAUGAAUUGGUCUUUUGAAUGCUGAAAAUCUGAACACUUCCUAAGCAGAAGUAGACAGCUAGGUAACUGAAAACACAGUUGCAGAAUUAGAAUAAAAUCCUACUUUCCUACAACUGACCAGUUAAUGGGAAAAGGGCAAGACCUUAUCCUACCUUUUGUAUGAGUUUUCAACAUAAACUACACAUGUGCAGUAUGAGGAUUACGUGCCUCUCUAAAAACCCAGCUUUGAUCACAGCACUGACCUAAGUGCAUCUUGCAACCUUUUCCAAGCAGAUAUCCUAAGAAACUUUUCAGCAAAACAGUGAUUUGUCAAAGACUGCUGACCUGUACAAUGGGAAAUAGUUCAUCUGAAAUAUAAUGAGAUCAGUGAAUCUUGGAUGAAUGAGAAGCAGGGUUUCCAAAAUGCUUCUGGGAUCUGAAGAGCCAAGACAGAGAGCAAAAGAGGAGAAAUGUCUGGAUGCCUGGAGUCACAGUGAUGCGGAAGAGCUGGAUGGAAUCUCACUGGAAGAGCAUCCUGAAGUUAUGAAAAAGCAAAUCUAUACCUUUAAGAACAUUUCUAUAAAUCAGGUUCUCCAAAAAAGGAAAUUGCUAUUGCAGAAAUUUUCAUUGGCAUUUAUAAGUAAUGUGCAGGUGUCUAAAGCACAUCUUCAUUUAGUAUUUGCCACUAUAUUCUUUUCAUCUAUUUUUCCCUACCAUCCGAAGUGCCAAGUCCUAUUUCACUUUCCCUUUGCCUAUAAGCAAGCAGUUAAUCCAAAAGAGGCACUAAAAC
ensembl:lncRNA